UACGGGGGGGGCAAGCGUUGUUCGGAAUUACUGGGCGUAAAGGGUUCGUAGGUGGCUUUCUAAGUCAGACGUGAAAUCCCUCAGCUUAACUGGGGAACUGCGUCUGAGACUGGCGAGCUUGAGUGCAGGAGAGGAAUGCAGAAUUCCAGGUGUAGCGGUGAAAUGCGUAGAUAUCUGGAGGAACACCGGUGGCGAAGGCGGCGUUCUGGACUGCAACUGACACUGAGGAACGAAAGCCAGGGGAGCAAACGGG
rnacentral:rRNA from 1 species